CUAAUACCGCAUAACAACGAAAACCACAUGGUUUUCGUUUAAAAGAUGGCUUAUGCUAUCACUCUGGGAUGGACCCGCGGUGCAUUAGCUAGUUGGUAAGGUAACGGCUUACCAAGGCGAUGAUGCAUAGCCGAGUUGAGAGACUGAUCGGCCACAAUGGAACUGAGACACGGUCCAUACUCCUACGGGAGGCAGCAGUAGGGAAUCUUCCACAAUGGGCGCAAGCCUGAUGGAGCAACACCGCGUGAGUGAAGAAGGGUUUCGGCUCGUAAAGCUCUGUUGUUGGAGAAGAACGUACCUGAGAGUAACUGUUCAGGUAGUGACGGUAUCCAACCAGAAAGUCACGGCUAACUACGUGCCAGCAGCCGCGGUAAUACGUAGGUGGCAAGCGUUAUCCGGAUUUAUUGGGCGUAAAGCGAGCGCAGGCGGUUGCUUAGGUCUGAUGUGAAAGCCUUCGGCUUAACCGAAGAAGUGCAUCGGAAACCGGGCGACUUGAGUGCAGAAGAGGACAGUGGAACUCCAUGUGUAGCGGUGGAAUGCGUAGAUAUAUGGAAGAACACCAGUGGCGAAGGCGGCUGUCUGGUCUGCAACUGACGCUGAGGCUCGAAAGCAUGGGUAGCGAACAGGAUUAGAUACCCUGGUAGUCCAUGCCGUAAACGAUGAGUGCUAGGUGUUGGAGGGUUUCCGCCCUUCAGUGCCGGAGCUAACGCAUUAAGCACUCCGCCUGGGGAGUACGACCGCAAGGUUGAAACUCAAAGGAAUUGACGGGGGCCCGCACAAGCGGUGGAGCAUGUGGUUUAAUUCGAAGCUACGCGAAGAACCUUACCAGGUCUUGACAUCUUGCGCUAACCUUAGAGAUAAGGCGUUCCCUUCGGGGACGCAAUGACAGGUGGUGCAUGGUCGUCGUCAGCUCGUGUCGUGAGAUGUUGGGUUAAGUCCCGCAACGAGCGCAACCCUUGUUACUAGUUGCCA
rnacentral:rRNA from 1 species